rnacentral:rRNA from 1 species
UACGGAGGGUGCGAGCGUUGUCCGGAAUCAUUGGGCGUAAAGGGCGCGUAGGUGGCGGGACAAGCGUGCGGUGAAAGCCUGGGGCUCAACCCCGGGUCGGCCGUGCGAACUGUUUUGCUUGAGCACUGUAGAGGCAGGCGGAAUUCCGGGUGUAGCGGUGGAAUGCGCAGAUAUCGGGAGGAACACCAGUAGCGAAGGCGGCACUCUGGGCCGGUACUGACGCUGAGGAGCGAAAGCGUGGGGAGCAAACAGG